rfam:Alteromonas sp. Nap_26 scaffold_28, whole genome shotgun sequence.
AGUUACUUGUCGGAGUGCUUCACUGGAUAUCCAGUAAGCUGAGACCGCGAAAGCGGGAUCCGUUGAACCUGAUCAGGCUAAUACCUGCGAAGGGAACAAGAAAAUAUAACGU